GACGAACGCUGGCGGCGUGCUUAACACAUGCAAGUCGAACGGGCCUUGUCCCCUUUUUUUUUGGGGGUGGGGUUAGUGGCGAACGGGUGAGUAACACGUGAGUAACCUGCCCCUCACUUCUGGAUAACCGCUUGAAAGGGUGGCUAAUACGGGGUGUUCUGGCCUGCUCGCAUGGGUGGGUUUGGAAAGAUUCGACCGGUUUGGUUGUUUUGGUGGGGGAUGGGCUCGCGGCCUAUCAGCUUGUUGGUGGGGUGAUGGCCUGCCAAGGCUUUGACGGGUAGCCGGCCUGAGAGGGUGGGCGGUCACACUGGGACUGAGACACGGCCCAGACUCCUACGGGAGGCAGCAGUGGGGAAUAUUGCACAAUGGGCGCAAGCCUGAUGCAGCGACGCCGCGUGAGGGAUGGAGGCCUUCGGGUUGGGAACCUCUUUCGCCAGUGAAGAAGGUCCUGCUCUUUGUGGUGGGGUUGACGGUAGCUGGGUUAAUGAAGCGCCGGCUAACUACGUG
rnacentral:rRNA from 1 species